AUCAUCAGGAAUGAUGCUAGGUUACAUUACAUCGAUAUAUAAGUUUAAAUUUAUAAUGUUGUGUUUAUAAUGUAACCUAGCAUCAUUCCUGAUGAU